ensembl:lncRNA
GUCACUGCUGUGGACUGACUGUUGAGACAGAGGUGGAUUUGAGAAAAUUAACUGAGAUGAUUCAUAACUGACUCUGUGAUCAACAGAAAAGAGCACAUGGGGCAGAUUCCUUUUAUUCAUAGAAAAAUAAUACUUUAAUCUUUUAACUCUCAAGUCACAACAGACUCCUCAAGUGAAAGAUGAACAUUAAAGGGAGGUUGAAACAGUGAAGGUGUUUCUGUCAGAGCAGAGUGAGAUUUUCAGAAACAGUUUGUAUUGCUGUUAUAUUUCAGUCUGUGGCAGAAUGAAUCUCCUGAACCCAGCUGUGUGUCCAUGAAGAGUGACUGGUCAAUGGAUCAUCCAAUGCAGUUCAGCUCGGGAGACACAUCUGCUGAUCUGAGGUGUUGUUUAGUUUACAGUAUGAGAAAUAUAUAUGAUAUUUAUGAUAUUCAUUAAUUUACCGAUGUGUAUUAAAUACAUUACUACAUGUUUACAAAAAUAUUCAACAUUUGUUUAACUACAGUCAAAAACAUAAAGGACCACAAUCACAUACAUCAAAGAAGAACUUAGACUCCAUUUUUAAGGUUGGUUUUGUGCAUGUGUGUGUGUAUGUUUGAGUGUGUGUGUGUGUGUGUGUGUGUGUGUGUCCAUCCCAACACAAUAAUCCUCUGGGUAAAAGUAUUAAAAAACUGAGAAAUCUGUGAAAUCCUCUCUGUAAUAGUCAUGUUUACUUUCNUGAAAUGUUUCACAUUUUUAAUGUUCAGAAACAAUAAAUGCACACAACAAUAGCAUUUUCAUUUAUAGUCAGAUUCAGGGGCAUGAAUCAGAUUUAUCUGAACACAUGGAUGUGUCUGUGAGGAAAAACCCAGCAAUGGAUCUUUCAGAUCUCUGCAGAGAGGAAGACUCUUCUGUUGAGUCCAGUCUGUGGCAGAAUGAAUCUCCUGAACCCAGCUGUGUGUCCAUGAAGAGUGACGCGUCUAUGAGUCAUCCAAUUCAGUUCAGCUCGGGAGAAUCAUCUGCUGAUCUGAGUCAAAAACAUAAAGGACCGCAAUCACAUACAGCAAAGAAGAACUUAGACUCCAUUUUUAAGGUUGGUUUUGUUUGUGUGUGUGUGUGUGUGUGUGUGUGUGUGUGUGUCAACACAAUAACCCUCUGGGUAAAAGUAUUAAGAAAUGGAGAAAUCUGUGAAAUCUACUUUCAUACACACAUGUAAGAUAAGUUGUAGGCCACUAUAAAGCAGAUCAGUGUCCACUAAAGUAGAGAAGAUGAAUCCAUAUGUAACCUGACUGCUGCACAAAGAUGAACAUCAAUCUAACAAACAGCCAAUCCAGUCAAACUCUCUCUUUUAACCUCAGUAUCUGUAGACGCUGAUGUUUGAGCAUACAGUGGAAGUUAUUAGCAGGUCUGAUAUAAUUCAGUGAUGUUUAUUAGUAUUCAUGCUUUAACUCUUGUGUAUUGAUCCUUUGGUACACCUUCUCUGUGACUGAAUGCAGGUUUAUUGUUUGAAUAUUUAAUAUGAUUUCAGGAGAUUGAGCACAAAAUCAUCUCUGAGUUAAAAA